AGUAACUGCGAGUGAACCGGGAAAUGCUCAAAUUUUGAAUCUGGCAGUCUUCAGGCUGUCCGAGUUGUAAUCUAGAGAAGCGUCUUCCGCGCUGGUCCGUGUACAAGUCUCCUGGAAGGGAGCGUCAUAGAGGGUGAGAAUCCCGUCUUUGACACGGACUACCAGGGGCUUAUGUGUUGCGCUCUCCACGAGUCGAGUUGUUUGGGAAUGCAGCUCAAAAUGGGUGGUAAAUUCCAUCUAAAGCUAAAUACAGGCGAGAAACCGAUAGCGAACAAGUACCGUGAGGGAAAGAUGAAAAGAACUUUGGAAAGAGAGUUAAACAGUACGUGAAAUUGCUGAAAGGGAAACGCUUGAUGUCAGUCACGUCAAUUAGGGAUCAACCUUGCUUCAUCGUGGGGUGUAUUUCUUAAUCGACGGGUCAGCAUCAGUUUCAGUCGCUGUACAAGGGCAAGAGAAAUGUGGCACUCUUCGGAGUGUGUUAUAGUCUUUCGUCAUAUGCAGCGCUUGGGACUGAGGAACUCUGCACGACUUCUUUUGUGCAUAGGUUGCUGGCAUAAUGGCCUUAAGCGACCCGUCUUGAAACACGGACCAAGGAGUCUAACAUGCCUGCGAGUGUUUGGGUGAUAAACUCGAGUGCGAAUGAAAGUGAAAGUUGACACCUCUGUCUGGAGGGCAUCGACGCCCGGACCAAGUCUAUUGACAUGGAUCUGCGGUAG
rnacentral:rRNA from 1 species